UUAAGUUCAGCGGGUAUUCCUACCUGAUCCGAGGUCAACCUUAGAAAAUGGAGGGUUUCACGGCUAGCACCCGCCACACGCCCUGAGCGAAGAGUAAACUACUGCACUCGGUGUGAUAGCGAGCCCGCCACUGAUUUUGGGAGGCUGCGGCAGCCGCAGGGCUCCAACACAAGCCUGGGGCUUGAUGGUUGAAAUGACGC
rnacentral:misc_RNA from 1 species